AGGAGUUUGAUCAUGGCUCAGGAUGAACGCUGGCGGUGCGCCUAAUGCAUGCAAGUCGAGCGACGCACGUCCAGUCCGUAAGGACAGGGCAUGACGGAGCGGCGAACGGGUGAGUAACACGUGAGCAACCUGCCCCACAGACCGGGAUAGCCCAGGGAAACCUGGAUUAAUACCGGAUACCCUCGAAGGAUCGCAUGGUCUAUCGAGGAAAUGCCUUUGUGCUGUGGGAUGGGCUCGCGACUUAUCAGUUAGUUGGUGGGGUAACGGCCUACCAAGACAAUGACGAGUAGCUGGUCUGAGAGGACGAUCAGCCACACUGGAACUGAGACACGGUCCAGACUCCUACGGGAGGCAGCAGCAGGGAAUCUUGCGCAAUGGGCGAAAGCCUGACGCAGCGACACCGCGUGGGGGAUGAAGGCCUUCGGGUUGUAAACCCCUUUCAGGAGGGAAGAAAUUGACGGUACCUCCACAAGAAGGACCGGCCAACUACGUGCCAGCAGCCGCGGUAAUACGUANGGUCCGAGCGUUAUCCGGAAUCAUUGGGCGUAAA
rnacentral:rRNA from 1 species